GCGGGUGUGGUCCAAGAAGGACGCCCGGUUUCCGACCGGGAGGUGGAGGUUAACCCCCCCACCCGCUCCA
rnacentral:tRNA from 1 species